UGCGUAGGCGGCGUUAUAAGUCAGAGGUGAAAGGCCACCGCUUAACGGUGGGACUGCCUUUGAUGCUGUAGUGCUUGAAUAAGGUUGAGGUUAGCGGAAUGUGACAUGUAGCGGUGAAAUGCAUAGAUAUGUCAUAGAACACCAAUUGCGAAGGCAGCUGGCUAGACCUUUAUUGACGCUGAGGCACGAAAGCGUGGGGAGCGAACAGGAUUAGAUACCCUGGUAGUC
rnacentral:rRNA from 1 species